GCCAGAUAAUAGGUAGCAAUCGCAGUGAUUCCAGAGAAAGCAGGGGCAAGUAAAACACAUACAUCACGAAUGUUCACGUUAAUUCUUAAAAGAUGUAAAACUUUGAAAAUAAUACCAGACGUGACCAUAAGUCCUGGGUACAAAGUACCACCCGCUACACGACCCAACGGGUACCAACUUCUUUCAUCAAACCAAUUUAAAAAGUUAUAAAAACCUUGUUCCACCAAUAUUUUGGAAGCUCGGAAAUUGAACCAAGGAUCAAAUUCAUGAAUAAUGGACUCGUAACGAAUGACAGAAAAAAGCCUCGAAGAGACAGAAGCCACUAAAAGAUACUUGAUUAACCAACUGCUAAUACAGUCUAUUAUGCAAAAAUUAACUUACCAGCAAUACAUAUAAGAAUGAGCACUUUAAGUGGAAUUUUCCAGUCCUUCUGAUGAGACUUCACGCCUUUUUUACUCGUAAUUGUAGCAGAAUUAGCCAUUUUUGGUCUGCUAAUUACUUAGAGUGUUUGGCUCUAGUCGGGUGCACCAAGUAGGCGUAUGCAGCUUAAUAGCACAGUCUAAGGAAUAAGGAAGAUUGUAAGGGAAUUUAAAAAAUCUAUUAAAACUAAUCAAUGAUAUCUAACAUGUAUAUAAA